CCAGGCUGGUCUUGAACUCCUGUGCUCAAGCGAUCCGCCCGCCUCAGGCUCCCAAAGUGCUAAGAUUACAGACCUGAACCACCGCGCUCAGCUUAAAUGUAUCUCUUUGAAAUAUCAACAUAGAUUCUCUUCCGUUCCCUCAGUCUGUAUCUCUUUCAACAGGAGAAAAUUUGUAAUUUUUUUUACUGUGGAAAAUUUCAAACAUACACUAAAGAAGAGAACUGUGAAUGUGUCACUCUGCUUCAAAAACAAUCAAUUCUCACCAAUUUGGAUUAUUUUGCAGCAAGAUUUUUAAAAAAGUUUAGGAAAAUUAACGGCAGAGCUUUUCGUUUAUUUGGCAGAUGGGAAUGAUUUAGCUGAAAGAAAAACUGAUGAUAAUACUAAAAGUAUUUUUUAUAUUAUGCUUCUACUUAGGCAUAAUUUCGUGACAAAUGUUUGAAGUGCUGGUCAUGUUACCAAUACAUUUUUAGGUUUACAUUUGAAUUUUUCUAAUUUCUUUAUUUAUUCCUUUUUCUUGGAUCCCAUGCAUUCCUCUUUUGGAUCUCUGUUUUGGAUUUUUUUUCCUAGAAGAUAUCUUCUAAUAAUUCUUAGAAGCAAGAACAGAAAAGUUCUUGUUUGAUAAACUUUCAGUGAAUAAUAUUUUCCCUAUUAGUAGAAUUUUAGUUUAAAAUAAUUGUUUUUUCCUGGUAAAAAUGCUAAUUAGAACAACAUCAUUUUCUCUCUUAACUUCGAAGUCAUUACUUUUUGUCUUCUUGCAUCUGGGGUUACUUCUUCCAUUGUAGGUAAACUGUUUUUCUUAUUAGUUUUGGGGUGCCCAGUAAUUAAUUUAUAAGCAAAGUUGUUUGUAAUGUAUUAAACCAACAGAGAGAAAUUCAUAGUGCUGAUGUGCCUGAUUUUAAAUAUUUACUUGAAGACAUGCAAGCAUGAAUUAAGCAAUAAUUCAGAACUAAGGGAUUCAUGAUCUACAGAUUUCUCCCCUCACUCAGUUCUGAGCCCCCUAAAUGAGGCCUCCACAUGGGUUAUUUGUUGUCUGAGGGAUUCUACUCCUGUGGGAAGAGCUUUGGUCCCAUGGGGUCUCAAGCGAACAUUUUUCUUCUAUCUUUAUUCCUUUUCCACUUGUGAGGAAUGUAUGUUUCAAGCUCUGUCCUUCGCUCCCAAAAUUCAGAAGUGUCUUUUCUUGUUUAAUAAUUGCUUAAAGCAAUAAUUGUGCCAUUCUGUUCUAAUGCUUCUAACAUUGGCUAAAUAUUUUGCAAAGGGAGCAAGGGGGUAUGGCUGGGGAGAGGGAGGAGGGGGAAAGAGAGAGAGAGAGAAAAUCCCAUGCCAUUAGCUCCUUCCACUAGGGUUUCCCUCUUUCCAUUUAUUGCUUCAGAAGCGCUUCAUUAUUUUCCUUCUGUUCCCUUCUGUUUUGAAAUAAUGCCCCUUCUGUGUCACUUUUCUUGAAGAAUUUGUCCUCUUUCCAAUUGGCUGAAGCUAAAAACUGAAAAUAAUGGAAGGGCUAAAGUUAUAUUUUCAGUUUCUGGUAUUAAGGGUGUGAAUAAGUAAGAAAGAAAAUACAAUCUAGAUUUGUUUUUAAUGAGAUGGGUGCAGUUUUUACUUCUUCCCUAGUAGAAUAUCAGAGGGAGACAGAACUGAGAGCCACGAAAUGAGGCCUCAAGCCCGGAAUAACAAUAAUUGUGUUAUGUUGUCUACUCCGGACUCACUGCCUCCCAUUCCAGGAUCCAUACUGCUAUUUUCAUAACACUCUAAAUGAUUUCACAUCUGUAAGUAAUUAGUUGCAAAAUAAUCUGUCUUGGGACUGUGGGUGAGAGAAGGGUUGGGCAAUAGAAGUUCCAACUGUGGUCUAACAAUGUGUAAAUCAUGUAUUCCUUCAUUCUGCUUUGUCUGCUUAUCAACUGUAAAUACAUUACACUGGUAAAGGCUAGUCCUGCAAAACAUAGCCCUUUGAGAAGCUCAGUAUUGAUGUGAUCCGCCAUAAUGGCACCACCAGCUUCACAGUUUACAAAGCCCCGCCCCUGAUAUUAUCAGAAUUCUUUUUCACAGCAACCCUGAGAGAUAGGCGAGGGUAAGGUUUCCAUCUAAUGUGUGAGGAACCUGUGGCGAAGUCAGUAGAUGACAUGAUAUGUUUUGUUGUUUUCUUGCAAACAUUUUAACAGUUCAUUAACUAUAGUAAUGCGCAUACGGAGGAGUGCAGGAAAUUAUAACGACAGAGAUUGAUGAAUUGUCACAAAGAGAACACUCUCAUGGAAUCAGUACCCAGGUCAAGAAACAGAACAAUGUAACACUUUCGUGCCCCCUUCCAGUCACCACCCCCAGGGGUGACCACCAUGCUGACUUCUAAAUAGGUGACAGGAUUAUUCAAGUUAAUUUUGUAUGGCAUGUGGACCAGGACCUUGCAACACAUGGAUGUGUUAUAGAGGGUCUGCUUGAUGCAUUUAGGAAUACAUCUUUACAUGAAAAGCAAGGCACAUGAGGAAUCAAUAAGGGAUGAAAAUUGCCCAACGUGAAGAAAGCUCAUCUGAGGAGACUAAAUAACAGGCUCCAGUGGAUGAAGGCUGAAUGUGUGUGUGGAAUAUUAUAGGAAAUGUUAUCUAUUGCUAUCAAGAACUGAUGAAAAGUUUACAUAGAAAAAGGAAAAUAUGUUUCUUUCAUGUUUAGAAAUUUGUGGACGAGGAGAAAUCCAUUUCUUUCUGUGGACAUUUUAAAAUUUAGGCUGUAAGUGCUCAUUGAAAGAUAACUUUGGUUUAAUCUUAACCAGAGGCAAGGAUUUGUGAUUUUUCAAGAGUGUUUCCUUUCCCACCCUGUGCCUGGCUGAGCAUUUCUGUCCAUUUCCAUGGGAAGACUGCAUUGUGUUCCUUUAAGGGAAAUGAUGUUUCGCUGGAAAAGGGAGGCUGUGUCUAUUUUACUUCUUUCCCUAGGACAUGAGUGAGUCGCCAGACAUGAAGGCUUUGCCUGUGAAUGUGCUGCCUCUCUCUGGGAUGGGCAGAGCUGAAGACCAACAGUAAUUGCUCCAGCUGGUAUCUGCAUCUGGUGGAUUUUGGAAGCUUACUCUCCCAUGUCCUCAGCACUAUUCUGCUAUUCCUGGGUAUGGCAUCUCCAUACCAAUCUGAAAACAUAAGAGAGCUCGAAGAAAAGCAUAGACUCAGAUGCAAUAAUCACUUGGGUUCUCUGAGUGAACAGCCUUGGGUAGCCACCAUCCAGAGCAGUGGAGACAUCACCAGUCCCAGAAGUCCCUGAUGUCCCUUCCAGUCACGACUCUGUCCCCUCGCCUAGGUAAUCAAUCACUAGCCUGCCUCCUCUUCUAACAUCUUUAAAUACUUUUGACUUUUUUUUUCAAUUUUUUUUUAAUUUUGAAAAUUUCAAAUUAGGUUAACUGAAAUAACAGUACAAUGAACACUCAUAUUUUCCUUACCCAGAUUCACUGAUUGCUAACAUUUUGCCGUAUUUUCUUAUUUCUCUGAACCAUUCUAAAGUUGUAAACAUCAUGUUUUCCCCCAAAUGCUUUAUCAGUUAUCACCUUAAAACAAAGACGUUCUCCUGUAUAACCCCAAUACCAUUAUCACCCUCAUAAAAUUAAUCAUUGAUGAAGCAAUGCAGUUAUAAUGGUCAGAUUUCCCCAAUCAUUUCAAAAAUUGUAUAGUUUUUUAAAAACUACAUAUGAUAUAAUGAGUCAUCUCCUAUAAUUUAAUUGCUUGACUUCAUUUAGUCUCCUUUAAUCUGGAAUAGUCUUUCUGCUCUCUCUUUGUUUUUUAAUAAUGGCAUUUUUCAUGUCCAGGCUGUUUGUGUAAAAUAGCCUUCAAUUUGAAUUUGUCUGGCUGUUUCUGAAUGACUCAAUUCAGAUUAAAUAUUUUGGCCAAAAUACCCCUAGUGAUGCCAUGGGUUACAUUUCCUGAGGCAGGGUGUUUUUUUUCUCCCAUACCUCCAAGUUUACUUGUUAUUUAAUUAAGACUGGGGUGUUCACAUUUUCUCAUGCUUCAUUAUUGUUUGGGGAGGAAGAAUAUUCAUCAGCUAAAAGGUUUUUUAUGAUCUGCUUUCAUCUUCUAGUCACUUUGUAUGGAUAUGUUGCUAUUUACCCUUCAUUUUGAGAUGUUUUCUUUCCUGGAGCGGCCAGCAAUGACUGUCACAUGUAGACAGAGGUGAGGAGGUGAGGACCGGGUGAUACAUGAGGUUUCUGAAUUCAAGAGAUUCUUCUGUUUGUUUGUGAAGUGCAAUUUCCUUAAAAAUUGCCCUCCUUUUGGGGAGUGGCAGUUUGCCUUCUGGUUUUGUAAUUCUCUUGUUUUUCCAGUACUUUAAUUUCCAGUUCUUUCUUGUUUUUCUUCAACAUCAAAUCUCUGAAGGCCGCCCUUUCCAGUUAAUCCUUUUCCUACGGAACCCCUGGCUUCCCAAGAUACCUACCUCUGUUCCUGCAGACUUUCAAUCUCCUUCCUUGUGAUUCUCAGUAGCCAGUGCCCUAAUCCGCCACGUCUCACAACUGUGUUCAAUGUUUUCCCAUUUGGGAUGAGACAUUGUUUCCCUGGGGGGUGUUUUCCAUACCUACUCCUCUGCUUUCCUUUCUUCUUUUCUGCACUUUUUCUUCUGAAUUUGGUCAUUUAUUUACCUGUUUGGGCAUAAUUUGAAGUUUGGAGUAUUCUCUGUUCCGUAGUUAUGCUACAGGCAUGGGUUCUUGGUGGUUUUACUUGUUCAUUUUGUUGAUCUAUGUGGUUUUCGGGAAUAUUUAUGAAGAGAUUCAGAAUAUAGACUAUUUGUUUCCUUUUGAGUUUUAUUUCCUUUCCACCUUUUUUUCUGUUAUAAUUUUACAUAAUUGUCAUCAUGUGUCUAUUCAAUUUCUUUCUUUUUAACUUAAUAUCAUUUUAAUUUUCCCAAUUUCCUGUAGAUGCUAUCAUUAUUUGUCAAUGGGCCCAUAAUCUUUUUCCAAGUGGAGAUACCAUGCUAUAUUUUAUUACUUUUCUAUUGUUGGAUAUUUACAUUGGAAAAGGAUGAUUACAAGUGUGUUUGGCAUGAAGAGAUUUAGCUCAGGCCAUUUUGAGGGAUGAGCACUUGGCCCAGGAUAAGCAUAUAAUAAAUCUUUGUGGAAUCAAUGAUUCAAAAGAAAAAUAAAACUGAAUAACAUUGCCCAAAUGUGAAGAAAACUGAAGCAUCUUUUAAAAUGUCCAGUUAAAACAUAUAAAUCCCAUAUCCUAAAGGAAUUUCAUUAACUGUUUAGGACUUCACUUGGGGCCCACCAGAAAUAAAUGCUCUGGGAUUGUCAGAUUGAAUAAAGUUGAUAACUAAGGUGUUUGCUGGAGUCAGAAUGCAACAACUGUGUCUUAGAGUGAAGGUCAUGAAAAAGAACUUCAAUCUGAGGGUAACUUUUAUUCAGGGUGACUCUUGGGGAUAAGUAACCGCGUGACCUUGUCAGUUUGUUCUCCGUCCAUCGCAUGGGUGGUGAUGAUUGAACCAGAGAAAUGAAUGGGGCUUGUAGCGCUGGAUGUAUAUGGUCAGUCUCCAUAAAUCAUUUCUUCCAUUGUCUGAAUACAUUUGGGCAUCCACAGUAGUUUAUUUCCAAAGUAUAUAAAGAAGCAGAGGCCAAGGGUGUAAUCUUGGAGCUAUUUAAAUAGAGUGGUUCCAGUCAAGACAUGCAGCUGUUCCCAAUUAUUAGUCCAUAUAUUCUAGGUGCCAGGGAAAACCCACAAGUGUGUCACUCAAUUGAAUUUUAAAGUGACCUCCUGUUCAGAUGAAAAUCUCCUAGCUGUGUUUUUUUCCCUAAAGACUGGUCUCCUAUUGAACGAGUUAGCAACACUCUUGUUGUGAAUGAAUCAUUGCUACUGCCUAUAGAGGAAAUCUGGAUUGUUCCAUAGGGUUUUCAAGGAAUGUGAACUUACCUUCCAGGGAACCCUUUGUAAAUGCUGCUAGCCAAAAUCCUGAACACAAGGACAAGUUGGAAAUCUUCAAAAGGGCAAACUCUGAUGAGGGGGCGUGGUUUUAAUAUUUUAAAGGCAUGUGAGUUGUGUCAAAACAUGAUUCCAAGGAGUGCCCUGAUUCCUGGCACACUGUUUGAGAGUCCCUGUAGGCACACAGGACUUGUGGCUCAUUCUACUUAGGGAAGCAGAUAUUUCUCUCUCUGAAGCUUAUCACAGAUGACAAGAGUAGCGUGCUGCCAGAGCAGUCCCUGAAAAGUAAGAUCCCUUGGAGACGCAAAGGCCGUCUUCUAACACAAAACCUUACCAUGGGACGCCCAAGUGUCCCUUCCACCUGAUUUCAUCAACUGCCCAGCCAAAGAGCAAAAGCUCUGCAGUCACAUUGUCUGGGAUUACACCUUGGCUUUAUCACUUAUGUAGUGUGACCCUCAGGCAAGCUAGUUAGACUUUUUUUUUUUUAAAUCCCCAUUGUUCUAUCUGUAAAAUGGAGAUAAUAAACUACUAACUUAAUAGGGUUGUUGUGAAAAUUUAAUGAGGUUAUCCAUUUAAAGGGCUUAUCAAAUGUUCACGGCCAGUUUCCUCCUCCUUCUCCUUUCCAUCAUCACUGACCAUUGUCAUCCCUCACAAGGGAAAUAUGCAUGAAAUUAAAACCCUGCUUUUCUUUAUCUGAUUCCCUUUAUUGAAGUUAAUCCAUUUGCUGAACAGGGACUAUUUAAAUUAUUCAAGGCAAACUGUUUUCCUUUUUCUCCUUCCACAUGUGUAGAGAUUACAGGGAGAUGCCUGGGCCACUGUUUCACAAUCCACAAAGCUAAGGGUAUCGUUUUUUAGGCCAAUGGAAACAUCUCCUGGGGUCACUGGCCAAGCCAGAAUGUCACCCGCACAGUUUUCGAAACUGACUUUAGGUCAGUGAAAAAUUCCUCAUUGUAUGUACUUUCCUUAGGCAAUUUCAAGAAUUAAAGCUUGAGAAAAACACAUUUGGUGAAUAUCAAUGUAAAACAUGAAAGUGAUGUAUAUAAUUCUACAUGCCUCAGAGAGAUAUAGCAAUAGAAUAUUUAUUUCACAAAUAUGAACAAGGCCCAUUUAAUUAGUUGUCAGAGCUAGUGAGUUUAUGUCUUAAAGCACAUACGAAAGCUCUUUGAACAGCAGCACAGAGAGUUUAUUUAGUUGUUCUGUUUUACUGCGGUGAGGUGCCAAGCUGACUCCAGAGAAAUCUUGCCAUGUGGUGCCUAGGAGUCUAAGUCCUAAAUUGAAUGCCUCGGCUGCUCUCCGUCCUUCCCCUGUCAAGAGUAAGAAAGCAACCUCAAGAGAAGUGAGCCUUUUAUUUCACACAAGUGAAUUUCUGAUAGUUGAUGUUUAUGAUUGUUUUUACAUUACAGUUUUUAUGACUUAUUUUACUUAUUUUCUGUAAGUUUCCUCGAUUAUAUGUCCCUGAGUUCAGUUUUCCCCCUUUAUUCCCUCAGAGCUAACUGCAUUUGAUAUGCUAUCUUUUAUUAUGCAGAAGCCCUUUGAUCUCUACAGAGGAAAGGCGCCAUAUAAAUGCAGAAAUCCAUUAUAAUCAUACAGAAGAGUGGCUUUAUGGGUGAAGUCCAGCUUAGCAAAGCUGUUGGAUGGAAGAGUGUACUAGACUGUGGAAUGCUAAUGCCAAAGUGUCUACUCAGAUGGUGGCUGGUUUCAGGAGUUUAUUUUUCAAGUAUGCUUUCUUAUUGAAGUAAACAUACAUACAAAAAAGUGCACACAUCGUAAGUAUUCAGCCUGAUGAAUUUCAGCAUACUGAAUACACCCGUGUAACCAGCACCCACAGCCAGAAAAAGAACAUUGCAGUAUCCCUCAUGCCCCUUCUCAUUCCCUACACCCCCUAAGGUCACCACUGUUCUGACUUCUAUCACCAUAGAUUAUUUUCACUUGAUUUUGAACUUCAUAAAGCUCAAAUCACACAGAAUAUACUCUUUAGGACCUGGCUUUUUGUUCUCAGCACAGUGUGAGUGAUGUUCAUCUGUGCCGCAAUUCUUCAGGUCUUUUUGUUAUGUGAGAUUUUAUUGUACAAGUAUACUAUUUAACCAUUCUCCUACUGAAAGAUAUUUUAGUUGUUUCCAAUUUUUGGCUUACAUAUAGUGCCACUAUUAAUGACAUUUUUGUAUAUGUCUUUUGAUGAACAUAUGUAUGUAUUUAUUUUGGAUAGGUACAUACGAGUGGAAUUCCUGGGCCACCAAGUGCAUAUGCACAUGCUUGACGUUGGGAGAUAUUGCCAAACACUUUUCAGAAAUUGUUGUACCAAUUUUUGCUCCCAUCAGUGGUGUGUGAGUGCUCUGAUUGCUCCAUAACCUUACUGAGGGGCACCGGAUUAUCCGCCUGCCCCCAUUUGCCUCUUUGGCAUAGAGAUUAUUUUGAGCUAAAGGCCAUUAAGAACCAGCAGAUGCCGGAAAAGCUCUUAAAACAGGGCACGAGUUUUUCUGUUGUAAAGCAAAUUUACAUUUAUAAAGAAAAUUCCAUUUGUAGAAUGUCUUCCUCUCCCAUACCGGGAAGAGGAGGAUUCUUAACAACUCUUAUCAAUGGAGAAGGAGCCAACUUAAAUCCACUUAACAUACUUUAUUGAACAACCCUUGUUUACCAUACUUUUCCCAGUCAUCUUCCUGUAACUUGUCUCCCCUACCAAGAAGCCCCAAGCCUCUUUUCCUUUGUUUUGGCCUAAGAUGGUGUGUAAACCCAAGUUCUAACCACCCUUGGGACUCAUCACUGGGUACUCCCAUGUGUAAACCCCAUGCACAUGCGAAUAAACCUCUGUUUUUCUGUUGUUCAUCUGACUUUAGCCAGUCUAAUUUACAGUACCCCACUGGAGAACCUGAGAUGGUUAGAGGAAGAGAUUUUGUUUUGUUUUGUUUUCUACACUACUCACAUUGGCAUUGCCAGUCUUCUAAGUUUUAGCCAUUCUGUUGGAUGUGUAGGGGAGAAGCAGUAAUAUCUUUUCCUCACCUAUUGCAAGGUUCAUGGCUGAGACCUCUGUAAUAGAAACAGAUUAACAUGAGAAAAGCAUAACAAGUUUAUUUAAGUUUUACAUAACACUGAAGCAUCCAGAAAUGAAGCCCUGAAGAAGUAAAGAAAGCUGUGUAUUUUUAUGGACAGUCAUGCAGAAGUAUGAUUGGAGAAAAAAGGGUAUGAUCUACUGGCAACAAACGGGGGAACAUAGGCCUGUUUGUUCAGAUUCUUCUCUGUGUCUUCAUUUCUUAUAAGGAGGACUGAUGGAAUGAGGCUCUUGUAACUUACUUUAGAGGAAGGUUGAAUGAUUCUUUUAUGGCCUCCUUUAGGGGAGAAUGGCUGGAGAAGGUCAGAGAGAACUUCCCGCUUCUGCUGAUUUCUCAAAUGCCAACAUGCCAUAAUUUGGGGAUAGCAUGACCUGAUCCAUCUCAUUGUGGUUUUAAUUUUCACUUUUUUGAUAACUAAUGAUGCUGGUCACCUUUACCUAUGUUUAUUGGCGAUUCGUAUAUUUCCUUUUGUGAAGUGCCCAUUCACGUCUGUUAUCUAUUUUACUGUAAAGUUGCCUUUUCCUUAUUGGUUUAUGAGAGUUUUUAAAUUUAUUCUUGUGGGAAGUCCUUUGUCGGGUUUGCUAUCUGUAUCAUAGAUAACUCUUAUCCUUCCUGUGGCUUGGAUUUUACUUUCUUAAUAGUGUCUUUUGAUAACAAAAUUCUUAAUUUUAAUAUAUUCCAAUUUAUAUAUAUUUUUCCUGAAGGAAAAAUUAUUUAAUGCUUUUGUGAUCUAUUAAGAAAUUUUAUCCUCCUCCAAGUUGUGGAGCUAUUCUUCUGUGUUUUCUUCCAUAAGAGCUAUUGUUUUGUGUCUUAUAUUUAGAUCUACAAACCCUUUGGAAAUGAAUUUAUGUACAUGGUUUGGGAUGGGGGUCAAUAUUCGCCUUUAUUUCUACAUAGAUUUGCAAUUGCUCCAGCAUCUUUUAUUGAAAUUACCGCACUUUCUCCAUUGAAAUUUACUUUUGAAGCAAGUUCAAGGUCAAAAUCUUUAGUAGGGAGAUGACUCUCUUAUGCAUAGGUUUUCAGAUUGUUAUGCAUAGGCAUCACCAUGGAAUGUGUUUAAAAUAUAGAUACCUAGGCCACCCCCAGGGAUGCUGAUUCACUGCUGAUGAUUCUCAUGCCUUGAGGCCUGGCCCGUACUCCGAGGAUUGGUGCUUCACUCAGGACCACCCUCAGUCAAGCAGACUCUGCAUCUCUCUGCCUCAUUCAUCUAUGUACAGACACUGUGUCUCCUGUAGAUUAUUGUGGCAGCUACAAUCAGUUAACAAGUUAAUUUUGGGGAACUCUAUUUAUCCUACCAACUCAAAUAUUUUGCUCAAUUAAUAUUCUCUCAUUCCAUUAGUCAUUCAUCAGUACCUAUCAGUUAGUCAUUGACUUGAAUUUCAUGUGGGCAUUCCACCACUUCACUUGCCACCCCAUUCUGUUACUUAACAAAGUCUACUGCAAAGCACAUCCAUUGAGACAGCUUGAUUGUCUCCUUGUAUAGCUUGCCCCAUUGUCAUUUUGUCCUUCUCUUAGUAUCUGCGACAUUCAAUUAGCCUUUAUUGAACACCUACUCUUUGCCAAGCAUAUAAUCAACUUUUUAUCCUCAAGGCUAUUAGAGUCCCUUGUAGAAGUGUGGGCACUGACCAACUUCCUGACACAUGAGUACAGUGAACCGUGAUGUAUGCCAUAAAUGGGAGGGGUGUGUGCUUGCUCAGAGGAGGAAGCAAUUACCCCUCCUUGUAGAAGGUCAGAGAAGCCUAAGCAGUGGCGGUUGAGCUGGGUCUUAAAGAGUGUAUAGGAGUUCAGUGAAGGAUAAGUGGAUGAGGAUGAGGGUAUUUCAGGUAGAGGAAAAAGACAUAAAACAGCUCAGCAUGGUCGAGGAACUGCAGGUGAUUCUGCAUGUGUGCAUCCCCUCAGUAACUCAACAGCCCAUGUAAAUUGGGAGGCAGGAGCACUGUCCCACUGAGUUUCAAACAAAAGCCAUUCCAAACUGCCAGAUAAAAUUCCAGUUUAAAUUAGUGAAAUUUGUUGUGAGACAGCCUGUGCACUGCAGAUGCCUGUGGUCCUAGAAGAUAAAGUCUAUUUCCUUUUGAAGGACAUACAUGUAGAUCAACAUGGAAGGAGUAGCCCUUGACCAUCAGUGUAUGACUCCAUUGCAUAGUGCUUGCUGCAGAAUUGCCUUGCCUGUCAGAUGACACAGCCAGUGCUGAGGUGAGCUGGUAUCUACCCCGACCCUCCUUUGCCAGAAGUAAAGAUGAUGAGGGGGAGCCCCCUUACUGACCCUUGCUGGGGAUGGAUGGAUGGGUGAAGGCUUCUGACAACAGCCACCUUUCCCAAUGAGGUCAUGAGGACCUCAGUGCUGUAUGAUGGGGAAGGAUAUGGCUAUUUUUGUACCAUGGAUAAUAAAAGGGGAAAACCCUGCUAAUUUGACGUAAAAAAGAUUCAAAGUCAUAAAUAUCCCAAACUGAAAGCAAACCCCAGAAAGGCUAGUUUUGAAAUUGGAGGUAAUUAAUUCCUCAUGCGAUGUGCUGAAAUUCAACCCAGACAUCCCUUUUUUUUUUUAAUUUCUUUCAGACAGUUUACAGUCCAGUGGAAAGUAAAACCAUGCAAUCCCUUGGUGUGGUACAGUUUUACUAUGUGUCUCUUUUUAUUAUUUUGCUCAUUUUGAUCACUUUUUACGUGAACAUGCAUAUAAUGAAUUCAGCUCCUCUUGUACAUGAGAUUUAUUUUACCCCAAGGAUCUCUCCUCUCUCCAUCGGUAGUCAAAUUGUUAGUGCAUUUCUCCAUAAAAGAAAAGAUCUGCAGACUAGAGCAUCGAAGGUGAAUGAUGACAUUAAUUUGAAAUUUGGAUUUAUUUUUAACUCAGAAAAAAUGCUGCUGUUUUGCAAAUGAAACUGGAGUUUAAAGUCAAAUAAUAAGGUUUAAACUCCAUAUUGAGGGAAUCAUAAACCUCCAUAUUGCCCUGACCUUUGAGGGUCUUGUUCUUAAACUCUCUUCUAUAGUGAAGUCGAAAAUCUUAUUAAUUCCCAAAUGUGGUGCUCAUAUUCUCAACUCCAUACCUUUGCUUUAUUCAUCCUCCAAGGCUGGCAUAUCCUUACAGCCAUUCUUUUUUUUUUUUUUUUUUUUUUUUUGGUCAGUUGGAUUGUCCACUGCAAUUAAGCUGUGCAAGAGCAAAAUAAAAUUUGUUUGUUUGUUUGUUUGUUUCUCUAUAACUAUCUCAUGCUCUGCAGGAACCUCUACCCUUCUAGGUAAUAGGAAAGAAAAAGAUAACUAAGUACAUAAUCCACCUUCAAUCUUAGCCCCAGUAGUAAUUUUUCUAGAGUCUCUGUAGGUAAACCUGUCUUUAAUGGUGAUUGUUGAGCCUCUCUAAUUUCCAUUUCCUGUCCCCUGCUUGUCUUUAGAUAGUGGCUGGCUGUGUGGAGUGGGCACAGCGCUUGCUCUCAUGAGCCGGUCCCUGGAUCUACAUCAAGAUGGUGCCUGGAUCUGUGGAUGGACUCUGGUCCUACCUUGGCCCCUGCUGCACUGAAGCUCCUGGCAUUUCCAGGGAGCCUUGCCCCUGUGUGUUAUUGGCCUGUUUUUCUGAUGUCUGCAGCCUGACAAACAUGUCACCUGGUCUUUCUCAGCUGGGUGGCUCCUCUUUGUUGAUUCAAUGCCUCCUGGUCUUGCACCCACUCCCCGACUCAGAUACUCUGCUUGGGCUCUUCCAGGAGAUCAGUGUGCUCUGCCAGGUCCCAGGGCAGACCUGCUGGCUCUCAGCUUGGCACUGAGGAAUGCUCUGGAGUAAACACUAGCCCUCCCCACCUGCUACAUGCUCAGCCCUCUCCCCUCUGCCGUGUUGCCUCAUGUCUCAGUCAUUUCUGAUUCCUCGUUACCUAGCAGAAUGUCUGGCACUUUUGCUCAGUAAGAUGCUUUUGAAAUUGAACUGGAUUGUGAAUUCCUUUCAGUGAGUGGUCCAUGCUUUAUUUGGCAAAUAGAUGCCAAUGACUACUAUUUUCUCGAAAUUUUAUAAAGUUAAUUAUUGAUACACCCAAAGCAGAGGGAUCUUCUGAUCCCCAAAGCCUGGCUUUCAGUGUUGUUUUAACCCUUCUAAAAUCUCAAGUUUCUCUAAUAAAAACCACGAUAGUCUGAAAUGCUGGAAUUUGGAAUUUAUGCCUUCCUAGAGUGCUGAUACCGAAAUUUUAAGGAAUGUAGGGAAAAAAAGGAAAUAAAAAGUCCCCCAGAGGUUGCUGGAAUUUUUAGUUUUAUUUGAACAUAUUUGGUGGGA
rnacentral:lncRNA from 1 species